rnacentral:rRNA from 1 species
AGAGUUUGAUCCUGGCUCAGGAUGAACGCUAGCGGCAGGCCUAAUACAUGCAAGUCGAACGGUGAUAGCAAUAUCAUAAUGGCGCACGGGUGCGUAACACGUAUGCAACCUACCUUAUACUGAGGGAUAGCCUUUCGAAAGGGAGAUUAAUACCUCAUAACACAUUGAACUGGCAUCAGUUUAUUGUUAAAGAUUUAUUGGUAUAAGAUGGGCAUGCGUCCAAUUAGUUAGUUGGCGAGGUAACGGCUCACCAAGACGAUGAUUGGUAGGGGAACUGAGAGGUUAAUCCCCCACACUGGCACUGAGAUACGGGCCAGACUCCUACGGGAGGCAGCAGUAGGGAAUAUUGGGCAAUGGAGGCAACUCUGACCCAGCCAUGCCGCGUGCAGGAAGAAGGCGUUAUGCGUUGUAAACUGCUUUUAUAUAGGAAGAAAUAGACCUUGCGAGGUAAGUUGACGGUACUAUAUGAAUGAGCACCGGCUAACUCCGUGCCAGCAGCCGCGGUAAUACGGAGGGCGCAAGCGUUGUCCGGAUUUAUUGGGUUUAAAGGGUGCGUAGGCGGUUUAUUAAGUCAGUGGUGAAAGACGGUCGCUCAACGAUUGCAGUGCCAUUGAUACUGGUA